GACGUAGGGCGCGAGCGUUGUCCGGAAUCAUUGGGCGUAAAGCGCGUGUAGGCGGCCAGAUAAGUCCGCUGUGAAAUCUCGAGGCUCAACCUCGAGCUGUCGGUGGAAACUGUCUGGCUAGAGUCCGGAAGAGGAGAAUGGAAUUCCUGGUGUAGCGGUGAAAUGCGCAGAUAUCAGGAAGAACACCCGUGGCGAAGGCGGUCUGCUGGGCAGUAGCUGACACUGAUGCGCGACAGCGUGGGGAGCAAACAGG
rnacentral:rRNA from 1 species